rnacentral:lncRNA from 1 species
UUUGAAAAUGUAAAAAUGCAGAAAGUUUUGUAUGAGGGGUAGGUUUAGGGGUGUUGGGCAAGGGGAUAGAAAACAGUUUGUACAGUAGCCUAUAAAAGCCAAAAGAUGUUUCUAUUUAAAUGUGUUCUGUACAAGUUUCUGUAUGGGUAAGUUUAGGUGUAGGGGUUGGAUAGGUGAUAGAAAAUAUAAUUAACCUGAUAGAAAAUCAAAGGCAAUGUCUUCACUAAGAUAGCGAACAAAGUGUAUGUGUGUGUGUGUGUUUUAAAUAACGCAGCUUAUGUGCUGCACCCUUGUAGACCUUUUUGUUUUUUACUGUUUUGUUUUUACUGUUAUAAUAAAACAUUUAUCGUAACAUCAAAGAGAUGUUCAUUUACAGCAUGUACUGGACAUCCUUUUGUAAAUUAAGCUGUGUAAACAAUAAAAUAAGAGCAUGUAAAAAUGAAAGUGUUGUUACGAAUCGUCCAAUGAGAUCGCAUAUCUUGGGAGUUUCCGGUUAUUCUGUUCUGAAGCGAAAGGAGAACGCGCAAGAAACAAACAUUGAUCAUGCUGCACAUAUACUUUAUAAUUUGUAAGUACAAAAUGCAUUUGUGCACAUGCACAACGUAAUGUAUUGCAUAAUUGCAAAAGGGUCAAGAAAGAAAGAAAGGAACGCGUAAACACUAAAGUGAAACUAACCGUUUGUGUAGCCUACAUUACCAAAACUUCCGCGUCUCCAAAACAGAAAAUCUGCAGUGAUAAUCUCGUUUAAAUGUGUUUUCAUGCAAGGCACUGGCAGUGAGUGCAACCUUUAAUAAAUACAUCAAAUGUUGUUAUAAUUUCUUUCCUUCAGUUCAUCUGAUUCACCUGUCAGCAUCGAUAAAGGAGCACCACUGGAUUAAAAUGCCAUGUCCAGCUAGCAUUGAACAAGGUGUAAAAUACAGGAGAAUCACCUGGCACAAGGUUGAAGAGGGUUCUGAUGUGCUGACUGGACUUGUUUUGAAGGAUUUGCAAAAAAACAUUACAACCCUCUAUAAGUUUGCAAAUUAUUCCUAUGAGGUGGGGGAAGACAACUCUCUUCUGGUCCCUAGUUCUGCUAAAGUAGGCUGUGGCAUUUACAGAUGC